GGUUAAGCGACUAAGCGUACACGGUGGAUGCCCUGGCAGUCAGAGGCGAUGAAGGACGUGCUAAUCUGCGAAAAGCGUCGGUAAGGUGAUUAAGGUGAUAUGAACCGUUAUAGCCGGCGAUGUCCGAAUGGGGAAACCCAGUGCAAUUCGUUGCACUAUCGUUUGAUGAAUACAUAGUCAAACGAGGCGAACCGGGGGAACUGAAACAUCUAAGUACCCCGAGGAAAAGAAAUCAACCGAGAUUCCCCCAGUAGCGGCGAG
rnacentral:rRNA from 1 species